rnacentral:rRNA from 1 species
AUUGAACGCUGGCGGCAGGCCUAACACAUGCAAGUCGAACGGUAACAGGAAGAAGCUUGCUUCUUUGCUGACGAGUGGCGGACGGGUGAGUAAUGUCUGGGAAACUGCCUGAUGGAGGGGGAUAACUACUGGAAACGGUAGCUAAUACCGCAUAACGUCGCAAGACCAAAGAGGGGGACCUUCGGGCCUCUUGCCAUCGGAUGUGCCCAGAUGGGAUUAGCUAGUAGGUGGGGUAACGGCUCACCUAGGCGACGAUCCCUAGCUGGUCUGAGAGGAUGACCAGCGACACUGGAACUGAGACACGGUCCAGACUCCUACGGGAGGCAGCAGUGGGGAAUAUUGCACAAUGGGCGCAAGCCUGAUGCAGCCAUGCCGCGUGUAUGAAGAAGGCCUUCGGGUUGUAAAGUACUUUCAGCGGGGAGGAAGGGAGUAAAGUUAAUACCUUGGCUCAUUGACGUUACCCGCAGAAGAAGCACCGGCUAACUCCGUG